rnacentral:tRNA from 1 species
CGGGGCGUAGCUCAGUCUGGUAGAGCGCCGCGUUUGGGACGCGGAGGUCCGCCGGUUCGAAUCCGGCCGCCCCGA